GGGGUUGUAGCUCAGUGAUAGAGCACUUGCCUAGCAGCAUGAGGCUCUGGGUUUGAUCCUCAGCACCACA
rnacentral:tRNA from 1 species